UCUUCCCAUUCCGAACAGAGAAGUUAAGCCCAAUAGCGUCGAUGGUACUGCAAUUAUGUGGGAGAGUAGAUAGCCGCCGUUU
rnacentral:rRNA from 1 species